CCUACGGGAGGCAGCAGUGGGGAAUAUUGCGCAAUGGGCGGAAGCCUGACGCAGCGACGCCGCGUGAGUGAUGAAGGCCUUCGGGUCGUAAAGCUCUGUCGGGCGGGAAGAAAAAAUCCGACCUGAAGAGGGUGGGAUUUUGACGUUACCGCCGAAGGAAGCACCGGCUAACUCCGUGCCAGCAGUCGCGGUAAAACGGAGGGUGCAAGCGUUGCUCGGAAUCACUGGGUGUAAAGGGCGCGUAGGUGGUUGCCUAAGUCGGAUGUAAAAUCCCUGGGCUCAACCCAGGAAUUGCAUUCGAAACUGGGCGGCUUGAGGGUGGGAGAGGAAAGUGGAAUUCCCGGGGUAGAGGUGAAAUUCGUAGAUAUCGGGAGGAACACCAGUGGCGAAAGCGGCUUUCUGGACCAUCCCUGA
rnacentral:rRNA from 1 species